rnacentral:rRNA from 1 species
UACGGAGGAUCCAAGCGUUAUCCGGAUUUAUUGGGUUUAAAGGGUGCGUAGGCGGCCUAUUAAGUCAGGGGUGAAAGACGGUAGCUUAACUAUCGCAGUGCCUUUGAUACUGAUGGGCUUGAAUGUAGUUGAGGUAGGCGGAAUGUGACAAGUAGCGGUGAAAUGCAUAGAUAUGUCACAGAACACCAAUUGCGAAGGCAGCUUACUAAAGUAUGAUUGACGCUGAGGCACGAAAGCGUGGGGGAUCAAACAGG